GAUGAUGUGGCUCAGUUGCUAGAGCAUUGUUUUUGCAAUGCUAGGGUUGUGGGUUCAAUUCCCACCAGUACA
rnacentral:tRNA from 1 species